CCAUCUCUUCUCCAUCUUUUUUCCUUUGUUUCUUUCUUUGGUUGUUUUCAUUUUUGUUUCUUUUGUUUCUUUUUUAUUUUUCUUUCUUUCUUUGUUCCUUUUUGCCUCUUUCCAUCUUUUUUUUUCCUUUCAUUUUCUUUUCCCUAUCCUCCAUCUCCCCCCCAUCUUUUUUCCUUUACUUAUUUCUUUCUUUGGUUGUUUUCUUUUUUCUUUCUUUCCUUUC
rnacentral:lncRNA from 1 species